rnacentral:rRNA from 1 species
UGUGUCAGCCGCCGCGGUAAUACGUAGGGGGCAAGCGUUGUCCGGAUUUACUGGGCGUAAAGAGCGCGUAGGCGGAGAUCUAAGCGUGGCCUGAAAGCCCCCGGCUCAACCGGGGAGUGCGGCUGCGAACUGGGUUUCUUGAGGACGAUAGAGGAGAGUGGAAUUCCUGGUGUAGCGGUGAAAUGCGUAGAUAUCAGGAGGAACACCCGAGGCGAAGGCGGCUCUCUGGGUCGUACCUGACGCUGAGGCGCGAAAGCGUGGGGAGCGAACGGGAUUAGAUACCCCGGUAGUCCACGCCGUAAACGAUGGUCACUAGGUGUGUGUGGUAUCGACCCCGCACGUGCCGCAGCUAACGCAAUAAGUGACCCGCCUGGGGAGUACGGCCGCAAGGUUGAAACUUAAAGGAAUUGGCGGGGGA